ensembl:snoRNA
AUCCUUUGUAGUUCAUAAACAAGAUAACUGGGUGUUCAUGUGCACGUGUGAGAUGUGCCACCCUCAAAUAUUGUUAUGAUACUGGUACAUUACCUAUCUGAUG